AAGUCGUAACAAGGUAUCCGUAGGUGAACCUGCGGAUGGAUCAUUACCAAUUUCUAUAUUAUAAAACUGCUCAAGCCCCGCAACGGGUUUGGGCAACUUUUAUAAAUGUAAAUUGUUGAACCUGUUAUAUUAUUCUGUGUGGUUCAGUGUUAUUACUUGGCCACCAGCAUUUAUAAAAUCUAAAACAUUUUAUAUUAACUACUACUAUACUACUAAUAACUAUAUAUAUAAUACUUUUUAUAGCCCACAAGCUGUAAAAAACAACUAAUAUAAAAAACAACUUUCAACAAUGGAUCUCUAGGCUCUC
rnacentral:misc_RNA from 1 species